CGGGCCGAGGGAUUGCCUCAGUAGCGGCGAGUGAAGCGGCAAGAGCUCAGAUUUGAAAUCGUGCUUUGCGGCACGAGUUGUAGAUUGCAGGUUGGAGUCUGUGUGGAAGGCGGUGUCCAAGUCCCUUGGAACAGGGCGCCCAGGAGGGUGAGAGCCCCGUGGGAUGCCGGCGGAAGCAGUGAGGCCCUUCUGACGAGUCGAGUUGUUUGGGAAU
rnacentral:rRNA from 1 species